rnacentral:lncRNA from 1 species
CAAAGAUAUACCAUUAAAAGGUGUGUGACACUUUUAUUGUUUUAUUGCAGCCACUCCUUUCCCACACUUUUCCUGCCAAACCUACUACACUGCAGGGAGUGUGUUAUUGAGAGUGAUGUGAGAGUCAACAAUUGGAGGUCCAAUUAGAACAAAGUAAUGAAUAUUAUAGCUGUUUAUGUAUAAGAGGAGACCAUUUCUGUAUAUGUUUUAUAUAUACAUAUAUAUAAAUUCAAUAAAUUAAAUAUUAAAAUAAAAAUAACUGAAAUGAAUAAAAAAUUGUCAAUAUAUAUGAUGUGUCUUAAUAAAAGGCAAUGUGUGUUGCAGUUCAGUCACAAAAAGUCAAAUUUAAAAGCAUUGCCAUAUAUUUGAAGGCAGUUGUUCCACUGAUCAGGAAGGAGAUGGAUUCUCUGUUUGUAGAAUUCAUUUGGCUGGGAUUGCAACCACUCUGUCACCAUAUGCUUUACUUCCUCAUCCAACUUGAAAACACUUGCCUUUCAGCUUCUCCUUCAGUAGACCAAGCAAAUGGAAGUCACACUGCGAGAAAAUCAGAGCUGUAUGUAAGGUAUUCCAAUAUUUU